rnacentral:tRNA from 1 species
UAGUUCAGUGUGGUAGAACACCACCUUGCCAAGGUGGGGGUCGCGGGUUCGAAUCCCGN